ACUGGCGGAGGGAUCAUUA
rnacentral:rRNA from 1 species